AACAUGUGACGAUGAUGACGA
rnacentral:misc_RNA from 1 species